rnacentral:rRNA from 1 species
CCAUAUACGACCGUACCGCAAACCGACACUGGUGCGCGAGAUGAGUAUUCUAAGGCGCUUGAGAGAACUCAGGAGAAGGAACUCGGCAAAUUGACACCGUAACUUCGGAAGAAGGUGUGCCCUAUUAGUGUGUAGUGAACAACGAAGCAUGAAUGGGUUGCAAAAAAUCGGUGGCUGCGACUGUUUAUUAAAAACACAGCACUCUGCAAACACGAAAGUGGACGUAUAGGGUGUGACGCCUGCCCGGUGCUGGAAGAUUAAAUGAUGGGGUGCAAGCUCUUGAUUGAAGUCCCAGUAAACGGCGGCCGUAACCAUAACGGUCCUAAGGUAGCGAAAUUCCUUGUCGGGUAAGUUCCGACCUGCACGAAUGGCGUAACGAUGGCCACACUGUCUCCUCCUGAGACUCAGCGAAGUUGAAAUGUUUGUGAUGAUGCAAUCUCCCCGCGGAAAGACGGAAAGACCCCAUGAACCUUUACUGUAGCUUUGUAUUGGACUUUGAACAGAUCUGUGUAGGAUAGGUGGGAGGCUUUGAAGCAGGGUCGCUAGAUCUUGUGGAGCCAACGUUGAAAUACCACCCUGGUGUGUUUGAGGUUCUAACCUAGGUCCAUUAUCUGGAUCGGGGACAGUGCAUGGUAGGCAGUUUGACUGGGGCGGUCUCCUCCCAAAGCGUAACGGAGGAGUUCGAAGGUACGCUAGUUACGGUCGGACAUCGUGACGAUAGUGCAAUGGCAUAAGCGUGCUUAACUGCGAGACUGACAAGUCGAGCAGAUGCGAAAGCAGGACAUAGUGAUCCGGUGGUUCUGUAUGGAAGGGCCAUCGCUCAACGGAUAAAAGGUACUCUGGGGAUAACAGGCUGAUACCGCCCAAGAGUUCAUAUCGACGGCGGUGUUUGGCACCUCGAUGUCGGCUCAUCUCAUCCUGGGGCUGUAGCCGGUCCCAAGGGUAUGGCUGUUCGCCAUUUAAAGAGGUACGUGAGCUGGGUUUAAAACGUCGUGAGACAGUUUGGUCCCUAUCUUCCGUGGGCGCUGCAGAUUUGAGGAAGCCUGCUCCUAGUACGAGAGGACCGGAGUGGACACACCUCUGGUGUAUCGGUUGUCACGCCAGUGGCAUUGCCGAGUAGCUAAGUGUGGAAGAGAUAACCGCUGAAAGCAUCUAAGCGGGAAACUCGUUUCAAGAUGAGAUCUGCCGGGGCCUUGAGCCCCCUAAAGAGUCGUUCAAGACCAGGACGUUGAUAGGUCAGGUGUGGAAGCG